rnacentral:rRNA from 1 species
UACGUAGGCAGCGAGCGUUGUUCGGAGUCACUGGGCGUAAAGGGUGCGUAGGCGGGUCUUUAAGUCAGGGGUGAAAUCCCGGAGCUCAACUCCGGAACUGCCUUUGAUACUGGCAAUCUUGAGGCUGGAAGAGGUUAGUGGAAUUCCCAGUGUAGAGGUGAAAAUUCGUAGAUAUUGGGAAGAACACCAGUGGCGAAGGCGGCUAACUGGUCCAGAUCUGACGCUGAGGCACGAAAGCGUGGGGAGCAAACAGG